CCUCGUCUGUGCACAGACUGGUGGCCGACUCUGGAGCCCAGGCUGUUGCUUCCUGGUCUGGUGAUGAAUCCUCCAUAGUCUGGGGUCUCACUUUGUUGCCCAGGCUGGCCUAUUCCAGGAUUUGACUUUGCAGUUGAUUCCCUAGACAUGUGAAGAUCUGAGUCUAAUCAAAGAUAAUUCAGAGAUCGUCAGGGUAACAUGCAAGGACUGUCCUUUAGUAGCUAAACCAGAGACGUGCAGAACCAUCUGGGCUACCUUCUCUCCUGCCACCCUGUAGCUACUUGUACUGAAGAACCAAGCCUGUGGGCUCAGAGGACCCACAUGCAGGAAAGGGGUCUCCAGUCACCUCUCAUGAGGAGACGCGUCCCACUGCCUCAUUGAGGUGGCCUCAGGGUGAAGAAUCAGGACCCACCUGGUGCAACGAAUAAACCCAGACUCUCAGCAUCGCGAGGAGAAAAAGUCUUGCAACACCGUGGCGACCAAGUAACUCUGUGCACAUACUAAGGUCUCAAAACACAGGCACGGCCCCUGGAGUUCCCAGUACAUCAACAUCAGCCUGGGGAUCAUGUCCUCAUCAAAAGCUGGAAAGAGGAGAAACUCGAACCAGCCUGGGAAGGACCUUACCUGGUGCUCCUAACACUGAAACCACAGUCCAGAUAGCAGAAAAAGGAUGGACCCAUCACACCCCAGUCAAGAAAGCAUCACCACCUCCGGAGUCAUGGGCCGUUAUCCCAGGGGAAAACCCUACCAAACUAACGCUAAGAAAAGUUUAACUCUCCUUCAUCUAUUCUAUUACUCCUUCUUCUUUCCUCAUUCUAUGGCUGACCACCUCAUUAUUAAUGUAACCAGGUCAAGCUCACCCCAAACUAUUACCUUCGAUGCAUGUCUUGUCAUACCCUGUGGAGAUCUCCAAAGUCAAAAGCAACUCUCAGACUCAGAGAAGUAUCUCUGCCCCUUUAAGAUAAAAGGCUCCCCCUAUCAAGACCCUUGUUCCUUAACGAAUGCAGGAAAACAGGUCUGCCAUAGCUGGAAUGAUGUUGUGUGGACAACUGAAUAUCAAGGCUGGACCUCGUCAACCGGUGGUUGUAUGUCCUUAAAACCAUACAUUCACUUCACUAAAGAAAGUACCCCCCAUAAUUGCCAGUAUAACCAAUGUAAUCCAGUGCAAAUUUCUAUUCUCAUUCCAACUUCUACUGACCCUAAACCUACUUUAAGUUGCUUAUAUGGCAUGGGAGCCGAAAUAGCAGGGGCACAUCUUAUUGGAUAUUUUGAGAUAUGUUUUAUUACUCCUUCACCUCCUACAUUCCUUCUACAUUAUCCCCCAAUGUUCUGUUCUUCCUCCACCCAAAGAUAAAACCAAAAUAGAUAUUGUAGAAGUAAAUGACCUAAAACAAACUUUAGCAAUUGAAACAGGAUAUCAAGAUGCAAAUGCCUGGAUGGAAUGGAUUAAAUAUUCCGUCCACACUUU
rnacentral:lncRNA from 1 species